UUCAGUAAUGCAUAAGUGUGCAAUAUAAGCCCAGCGGUUUACAAGGUGGCACGGUUAGUAGCUUACUACAUAAGAUGGAUUAGUAUAAUCUAGCAAAAGCACGCCCUUCAUUCACGCACUGGAUUACACGUUUGCAGAUGCUACCAGUUUGCAACCAAGAUCAUCGUCGCUCUUUGGACGCCGCAUGGCGUGUACCCUUCCAAGACCAUCUCUCAGAUAGCAUAUCAAGUACAGGCCACAUAUAUGGAUUGGUGACAUGACGGCGAUAGCCAGCAGCACAUGCCACCAGCUCUCGGCAACAAUGUCCAACACAAGCAUGAAGCCAAUGUAGAACACUAG
rnacentral:lncRNA from 1 species